AAAUAGCCGCUUUUGUGCUAAGGUAGCAUAAUAAUUUGUCUUUUAAUUAAAGACUAGAACAAAAGGUUUAACAUCUCAAUUAAUAUUUCAUAAAAAACUAUUUAAAUUAUUUUAAUUGUAAAAAAACAAUUUUAAAAAAGAAAGACGAUAAGACCCUAUCGAACUUUACUUCAGUUUAACUGGGGCAGUUAAUUAAUUAUUAUUUUAAUAAAAUUAAACAUUUAAUUUGACCUAAUAUUAUUAAUAAAAUAAUUAAGUUACCGUAGGGAUAACAGCGUAAUAAAAUUUUUAAGACCUUAUUUAAAAUAAAGAUUACGACCUCGAUGUUGAUUUAAUAUCCUAAUUUACGCAAUAGUUAAUUAAGGAAGUCUGUUCGACUUUUAAAAAAUUACAUGAUCUG
rnacentral:rRNA from 1 species